rnacentral:rRNA from 1 species
AACGGGGAGCAGCCCAGAGCCUGAAUCAGUGUGUGUGUUAGUGGAAGCGUCUGGAAAGGCGCGCGAUACAGGGUGACAGCCCCGUACACAAAAAUGCACAUGCUGUGAGCUCGAUGAGUAGGGCGGGACACGUGGUAUCCUGUCUGAAUAUGGGGGGACCAUCCUCCAAGGCUAAAUACUCCUGACUGACCGAUAGUGAACCAGUACCGUGAGGGAAAGGCGAAAAGAACCCCGGCGAGGGGAGUGAAAAAGAACCUGAAACCGUGUACGUACAAGCAGUGGGAGCACGCUUAGGCGUGUGACUGCGUACCUUUUGUAUAAUGGGUCAGCGACUUAUAUUCUGUAGCAAGGUUAACCGAAUAGGGGAGCCGAAGGGAAACCGAGUCUUAACUGGGCGUUAAGUUGCAGGGUAUAGACCCGAAACCCGGUGAUCUAGCCAUGGGCAGGUUGAAGGUUGGGUAACACUAACUGGAGGACCGAACCGACUAAUGUUGAAAAAUUAGCGGAUGACUUGUGGCUGGGGGUGAAAGGCCAAUCAAACCGGGAGAUAGCUGGUUCUCCCCGAAAGCUAUUUAGGUAGCGCCUCGUGAAUUCAUCUCCGGGGGUAGAGCACUGUUUCGGCAAGGGGGUCAUCCCGA